CAUAUAUGAUAGGAUCCAACAAUUGCAUGUGGCAAGCAUAGGAAACUCUUUGCCAGUAUCAGCAUGUCUUCAGCAUCACUGCCAUAAGCUUUGAAUGACUUAUUCUGUUUUAAAGUGUUUCACGUGAAUGUAAUAAACUGUAAUGAUGGUUAAUAAAGUUGGACUCCUAACUGUGACCAUCUAAAGUCAGACAUCUGGUCUAAGGUAGGCACCUGUGCCCUCUACAUUCAAUAAAAUUAACUUUGAAAGCAAGUCAUCCCAUUUAGCUUAGGCCAUUAUCUUAGGGGUGGCAUGAAUUGCCCACAGGAGGUGUGUAACUCUAUUGCCUCCAAAGAAAGUCUUGAUUGCAAGUAUGAGCUAUAUAAGAAGCUACCCCAACUCUGUCCCCACCUUCUCUUCAUAAAUGUUUGCUUUUAUCCCAGGAAACUUGGAACUUCCUCUCUCAGAUAAAUUGCUGCAUUAUGACCAAAAAGUGUUUAGUGAAGUUAGCAAAAAAGCUCUUGGAAUAUCAGAAGUCACAUGAGCUCUCUGGAUUGUGGGGCCAAGCAGAGGAAGAAAGGAAAGAAGAAGGAGACUCAUUUUGCAAGAUGGGAUGGAACAUGUCUUUGAGAGGCAUCUGAUACAAUCUGAAAGAUAAUUUAUCUUGAUCUUUACUGUCUUGGAAAGAAGACAUUUAAGUAAAUAUUACAUGAUGGGGACUGUACCUCUGUCAUCCAGCGACCUCUCAAAUGUGUAGAUGAAUUUUUUAAAGCAUGCCAACACUUUUAAAGGGAAAAGUGUCACCACUGAUCAUCGCUGAUGCCUUCUAUAUUUGAAAGGGUUGACCAGAGUUGGGAACUACUGUGUGGUAAAAGAUACUACUGUAUCACUUAAAGCUUGAUGAAAGAACACCAGAAAAAUAAAUAAAUAAAUAAAUAAAAAUAAAAAGUAUCAUGCAUAGAAAAAACAAUUAUUUAUUGAAUGUCAGAAGUCCAGUGCAAUAACCGCUCGUUCAGUGCAACUGGCAUUUACAAGGUGCCAUUAGAAUUAUAAUGGGAAUUUCAGAGUUUGGUGCAAGAGAACGAAUUCUACAAUUGGUAUUUCACUGGCCAAGUAAGCUUGAUGGAGGUUAGAGAUAGUAAAAUAUCAUCCUGAAAUAUUAAUAUAUCCAUUAUAAAUCCAUGGUCCCUAAAUAAUGUAACCAAAAUGUAUAUGACUUCGUAUAGUGUGUGAUCUCUUCAGCAAUGCUCUCUGAUGUGUAUUUGGAAACCAAUAGUUGCUGUUAGCUCUUUUUACUAACCUAGUUUUGCCUUUUUCGUUUUAUAGAUAUGAUUCCAUCUUGAAAGACAAAAACUCAGAAAAGUUCAGCUAAUUUGUUUUCAACCAGAUGCCAUAUUUUUUCCUUUUAAACCUGCAGGCUUGUUGUGACUUACCAAUGAAAUAGUAUGUGAUACUCCUUCAUAAUAUACAAUUUUAGCACAGACUGUUUAUCAUUACAGUCUGUCUUCUCCUUAAUGGCACCCAGCAAGAUUCAGCUCCAGACAUGUAAAUGAAGUGUCUGCAUGUAAACUGGGCACCUUAGCUCCCAGUACAGACCAUGGAGCAAAGUCAGUGAGCCUAGGCCAGAGGACAGCUUUUAAGAUGGAUUUAACUGCUUCAACUUAGCCUGCUGGUGACAUCAGAGAAACUCUUGGGUGUCAGCCUCACUUCCAGCAGUCACCACAGGAUGCCCGAGGUCUCCUAUAGCUCCUGUGAUAUAUCUGACAGCCCCAUGGAGCCCCAUUAGCUUUCGCAUUUGUCUUUUAAAUUCUCAGGGGCACAAUGGAUACCACAUCACCGUUUUUGACCAUUAUGACAUGAAGGUUUUGCUCCAUGACAGAGUUCUGAUAACCAGGGCUGAGGUAGAGACAAGAGAUGAUGAUGUGAAUGUUAACAACCCUCCCACCUCCAGUUUGAGUAAUUUUCUUCUGGAAAAUUCUGCAAAGGUACAGUACAUUGUUUAUUUUGUUUAUCAGCUAAGUAAAUUACUUUUCUUAACUGGGAAGGAGUGUUUUUCCUCCCUGACUGCCCCCUAAGUAUUUACAUACCUAAGCACAUUCAAGAAUCCAGAACUCACAUUCAGUUCUAGGUCUCUGACUCUGAUUCCUGGUGUUACAUCAGAAUCAUAGCUUUCAUUACGAAUAAAUAAGUAAAUAAAUAACAACAAAUACACACACACACACACACAAAAAAAAAUGUCUUAGUCAUGACAGGUUCUAGGCAAGGAAUUUGGACAUAUAAUCCCCAUGUAGUCAGUGCAGGAAUCCCAGUUAGCAAAAGACAUGUCAAGCCCCAGCUAGAGAAAGUACCCUAAGGAGAGCAGGAAUCAUCCUGACUCUCCUCCUGCACCCAGCUCCAGCAUAUGGGUAACACUUCAGAAA